rfam:Acetohalobium arabaticum DSM 5501, complete genome.
GGAGAAGUACCCAAGUCAGGUUGAAGGGGACGGUUUGCUAAAUCGUUAGGUCGCCAUAUAGGCGGCGCGAGGGUUCAAAUCCCUCCUUCUCCG